CGAUUUUGGUACCGGGUACUCAGGUUUUGAAUCCCUGUGCGAACUGCCGUUCGAUGCGGUAAAAAUUGAC
rnacentral:tRNA from 1 species